UCAGCUCGUGUCGUGAGAUGUUGGGUUAAGUCCCGUAACGAGCGCAACCCUUGUCCUUAGUUACCAGCACCUCGGGUGGGCACUCUAAGGAGACUGCCGGUGACAAACCGGAGGAAGGUGGGGAUGACGUCAAGUCAUCAUGGCCCUUACGGCCAGGGCUACACACGUGCUACAAUGGUCGGUACAAAGGGUUGCCAAGCCGCGAGGUGGAGCUAAUCCCAUAAAACCGAUCGUAGUCCGGAUCGCAGUCUGCAACUCGACUGCGUGAAGUCGGAAUCGCUAGUAAUCGUGAAUCAGAAUGUCACGGUGAAUACGUUCCCGGGCCUUGUACACACCGCCCGUCACACCAUGGGAGUGGGUUGCUCCAGAA
rnacentral:rRNA from 1 species